AACUAAGUUAGGAGGUGGAGGGAUAGUUCAGUGGCUUGAGCAUUGGCCUGCUAAACCCAGGGUUAUGCAUUUGAUCCUUAAGGAAGCCACUUAGGAAUCUAGGGCAAAAUUAGUACUUGGUCCUGCUAGUGAAGGCAGGGGGGAUGGACUC